CACGUAGUUAGCCGGGGCUUCUUAGUCAGGUACCGUCUUGUCUCGUUCCUGCCGAUAGAGCUUUACAUACCGAAAUACUUCUUCACUCACGCGGCGUCGCUGCAUCAGGGUUUCCCCCAUUGUGCAAUAUUCCCCACUGCUGCCUCCCGUAGGAGUUUGGGCCGUGUCUCAGUCCCAAUGUGGCCGUCCACCCUCUCAGGCCGGCUACUGAUCGUCGCUUUGGUAGGCCGUUACCCUGCCCAACUGGCUAAUCAGACGCGGGUCCAUCCCAUACCACCGGAGUUUUUCACACAGGAGCAUGCGCUCCCGUGCGCUUAUGCGGUAUUGCACCUGUUUCCAGGUGGUACUCCCCCGGUAUGGGGCAGGUUACCCACGCGUUACUCACCCGUCCGCCACUAAGAUACACUCCUUCCGGAAUGCAAGCACUCCUUCUAAUGCACUCCCGUUCGACUUGCUAGUGUGUUAACGCACGUCCCGCCAGUCGUUCAUCCCGUGACGUCCGAGGACUACGAAACUCUCUAC
rnacentral:rRNA from 1 species